UACGAAGGGGGCUAGCGUUGUUCGGAAUCACUGGGCGUAAAGGGCGCGUAGGCGGCUUUAUAAGUCGGGGGUGAAAGCCUGUGGCUCAACCACAGAAUUGCCUUCGAUACUGUAGAGCUUGAGACCGGAAGAGGUAAGUGGAACUGCGAGUGUAGAGGUGAAAUUCGUAGAUAUUCGCAAGAACACCAGUGGCGAAGGCGGCUUACUGGUCCGGUUCUGACGCUGAGGCGCGAAAGCGUGGGGAGCAAGCAGG
rnacentral:rRNA from 1 species